UACGUAGGGCGCAAGCGUUAUCCGGAAUUAUUGAGCGUAAAGAGCUCGUAGGCGGUUCCGUAAGUCGAGUGUGAAAAAUCUGGGCUCAACCCAGUGGAGCACUCGAUACUGCGGUGACUAGAGUACGGUAGAGGAGUGUGGAAUUCCUGGUGUAGCGGUGAAAUGCGCAGAUAUCAGGAGGAACACCAACGGCGAAGGCAGCACUCUGGGCCGGUACUGACGCUGAGGAGCGAAAGCGUGGGGAGCAAACAGG
rnacentral:rRNA from 1 species